rnacentral:tRNA from 1 species
GACCGUUUUCUGAAAGAUGGCGAGAUGCGGUUUCGUAAACCGUAGGUCAUCGGUUCGACCCCGAUCAUUGGCUCCA